CCUUUGUCACACAAAUCGUGUUUUGCAGUGGAUCAGGCAGGUUAGGUACAGAAUCCCAACAGUCAGAAUCUCGAGCAGCAGAAUGCCAGAAGGGGAUCCAGAUGCUGAAAAUGCUGGCAAUUGCUGUUUCAGGAACUGAGUUAAAGUGUUAUUCAAUACAACUAAAGAAUGGAGACUACUGAUCAAUGCCAGGAAGUAUACUGAUGGUGGAAGUGCGCACUGAGGGUUGGUCCAGCAUACCGAUGAAUAUAAACACUAAGUUCUGUGCAUGCAAUGCAGAAGCAAAGACUGGCAUUCAGCUCUACAUAAGACCCAAAGAGAAAAAAAUCUAUAAAAAGCUACAGGUGUGAUAAUAAAACGUAAUCUUGCAGAACGAAAUGUGACAUGUUCUAAUUUUUACACAGAAUUGUUAUUACCCUUGGAUUAAUUAAAAGACAU